UUUUUUGGUCUUGAUGUACCUAUGAAAUAUGUAGAUCAAUUUGGAAUGGAGGGAGUACUACACUAGCUGCUGUGCUGAUUAUCAUGAGCUCAGCAUUGCAGAUUCAUCACUGAUGAUUUACUGACUUUUGGUCUCUCUCUCUGCUAGCUCUCUCUGUAUGUGGUGCAUAUAUUUCAAUUAAUCUGGCUCCAAUUUGGUCGUUUCGACCCAGUACAGCACGUACCAGCAUUUGUUUUCUUGCUGGUAUGCUGGUAGUACUAGCUAGAGCUGGUGGCCAGCCUGAGACAGAAUGACAAUGGCUCAUAUAGAAUUGAAUGGCCUGCAGAGCAACAUACUACUACUAUAUACCGGUCAGUGUUCCAAUUAUGGGACAGUAUAAAAGUUUGGGCCACCAAAAGUUUUGAGGGGCUGUUUAGUUUCCAAAACAAAAAUUUUUACCUAUCACAUUGAAUAUUUGACACAUGUAUAAAGUAUUAAAUGUGGACAAAAUAAAAAACCAAUUACACAGUUUGCGUGUAAAUUGCGAGACGAAUCUUUUAAGCCUAAUUGCACCGGCCAUGAUUUGACAAUGUGGUGCUACAGUAAACAUUUGCUAAUGACGGAUCAAUUAGGCUUAAUAAAUUCGUCUCGCAGUUUACUGACGAAAUCUGUAAUUUGUUUUGUUAUUAUUAGACAACGUUUAAUACUUCAAAUGUGUAUUUGUAUAUUCGGUGUGACAACCAAACCUAAAAUUUUUCCCCAACUAAACAAGGUCUGAAUUACCACGUCCAUCCAAAAAUUAAUAUACUGGAAUAGCUAUUUCUGGCUGUGAAAUACACACUCCAUUCAAAAAUAUAUUCAUACUUCAUGUAACAAAGACACGAAACUAUGUGCAUGCAAGUAACACUGGUGGAGAAACCAUCUUUGCUCGGUUAGCCAAAAUCCACAAUAUUCCCGGUUGUAAUAAAAACCGGGAUUAAAGAUUAUCUUUAGUCCCGGUUCAAAAGUUUAGAGCUGCUUUUUAAACCAAUCGGAACUAAAGAUCUAUUUUUACCAACCGGAAAAAAAGAUGCCUACUAUCUUUAGUCCUGGUUGAUAUUACCAACCGGGACUAAAGAUCUAUGUUUAGUCCCGGUUGGUAAUACCAACCGGAACAAAAGAUAGUGGCGGAGAGUACGAGGCAUCUGCCAUCUGCGAGAUCGAGGAGGAGGAGACGGGCAGCCUUAUCUCUUCACCUCUUCCUCCACUGACCUUAUCUCUUCAUCCCAUCUCUUCCUCUUCCUCCUCCUCCUCUCCUCUAACUCCUCUCCUUCCCUCCCCCAUUAUCCCUUCCUCUUCCUCCUCUCUAACUUCUCCUCUAACUCCUCUCCUUCUCUCCCCAUCAUCCCAUUGGGCGGCCGGCGGCCGGCAGCCUCGCGGCGGGGCGCCGGCGGGCGAAGGCCCUGGCGGCGGCCUCGCGGCGGCGCGGCGGGGCGGAGGCCCGGGCGGCGGCCUCACGGCGGUGGGCGGCGCUGUGGCGCGGCAGCGCGGCGGCAUACUGCAGGGCCUCGCGGCGGGCGGCGCGCCGUCGGCUGGCGCGGCAGCGGCCGACAACCUGUGUUUUUUUUCUUUUUUUUUAAGAAUUUGUGAUUCGGAUCUAUGUAUUUGAUUUGUGUGUGAUGUCCGUGAAUAUGUGAUGUAUUUGUGAUGAAUUUUGUAGAAGUUGUGAUGUAAUUUUGUGUUAAGAUUUUGUGAUCUAUUUGAAUAUGGCCGAUUUGGGGAUUUGAGGAUUGGGGAUAAUUUAUUUGGGAUUUUGGGAUGGGGAUAGAGUAAAAUCAAUAUAUUAAAAACACAAUGAAGAAAAGAAAAUAAUAAUUGAGCAAUCGGAUCUAGCUAGCUAGGCUAGCUCUAUCUUUAGUCCCGAUUGGUGUUACCAACCGGGACUAAAAAGGCUCUAUCUUUAGUCCCAGUUGGUAACACCAACCGGGACUAAAGAUGUAAUUUUACUCCCGGUUUUUUCACCCGGGACUAAAGACAGUGAUCUUUAGUCCCGGAUUGGUAGUCCUGGUUUGAAAACCGAGACUACAGGGAGGUUACGAACCGGGAGUAAAACCCCUUUCUCUACCAGUGUAACUAGAGUACUAAGAUGGAUGAUCGGGUUACAGUUAACAAUUUAAUUUAGCACCGUAAAAUAAAAAGAUAACUCCUUCAUUUAAGUCUUAGAUGCAUGGAGACUACAAAUAUACCAUCUCAUUUGGAAAAUAAAAACUAGAAAAUGAAAUAGUCUCAAGGCUUUUGGACGGAGGGAGUACAAGCUAAAAAAACAACUAUAUUUUAGGACAGGGGUAGCUUACUCCCUUCAUCUCAAAAUAUAAACAUUUCUAGCUAUAACAGCUGCUUGUUCAAAUUCAUAGUAAAUACUCCCUCCGUCCCAUAAUAUAAGGGAUUUUAAAUUUUUGCUUGUAACGUUUGACCACUCGUCUUAUUCAAAUUUUUUUAAAAUUAUUAUUUAUUUUAUUUGUGACUUACUUUAUUAUCUACGGUACUUUAAGCACAACUUUUCGGCUUUUAUAUUUGCAAAAAAAAAUUUAAAUAAGACGAGUGGUCAAACGUUGCAAACAAAAACUCAAAAUCCCUUAUAUUGUGGGACGGAGGGAGUAGUUACUAUAUUUUGGAACAAAUGUAGUAAUGAGUUAUUCAAAAUAUAAUAGAAGGUUGUAUAAACAUUAUUGUCAUUCCUUCCAUUUAAAAAAUUAUUGUAAAUCUCUAUUACUAUAAAAGGGCAAUCAUCCUCCUUCCAUCCUCUCUUCUUAUUGUGUGCAGCGCAUCUCCGUUUGCAUAACUACUACAUCCAAUAUUCCUCAAUCGCCCUUCUAGCUAGCCCAUCCCUAAUUAUUAGGUUUAGCCCGUUACAAUGUAUUAAUAAAAAAAUAAAUAUAGAUCUUAUGCUUAAGAUACGUUUAAUGUUAAAACAAGUCGAUCACAACAAAAUAAAUCUUUCUUAAAUAGUUCUUUUAGCAAAACAAGUGAUCAAACGUUAUAUUUGAAACUUAACAUCACAUAUUUAAAAAAAAAAAGAGGUGGCCGCGACUGUCGUAACAGUAUUCAUCUCCUAGCCUAGGGCUCCGGUGAAAAAAAAAUAGUCGUACAGCGUUUAAAUUCUCUAUGACCCUGUUGGGGGCACCGAAAAAUUUUUCAUUUAUAGAUCGAUCCGCUAGCAAUUUUUGGUGCCCCAAGUUUACUGGUGAAAUUAACAAAAACACACACACACAUGCACUGUAGGGAGAAAAUUGACAUUGUGCCACUUUGAAGAGUGGGUUUCGCUAUAAUGCCACUCCGCAAAGUGGCUUUGUUAAAAUGCCAUCGCCAAUGACUGCCAACACGCUGCUUCGCAUUUUUCCAUUUUCACCGGAUUAAGGCACGAAUUCGCUUGUGUUGUGACCAAUGUGCCCCUGACUCAUCCACGGCGAUGACGUCCGCCGCCACGUCAUCGCCGCCGUGGACAGGUCGUGGUGCUCAACGGUGGCGGGAGUGAGGGUGAAGUGUUGUGCGGGCGCCAUCACGAUGGGCGUGAUGUUUGCGAGGUGGGGAGCAGGUGAUGCGAAGGUGUACGACGUCGCGGAGUGAUGGCCGGCACCGGACUUCCCGGUCUGCGCAUGCGCGACGGUGGCGGCGAAGCCAAUGUAGUCGGCGAUGGCCGCGGCAACAUUCAUCGACUGCCACGCCUGCUAUUGCUUGUGGCCAAUAGGUGAGGUGUUGAUUGCGGCCAUCCCAGUGAGUAGCUCGGUGAAGAAAGCCGCCUACGAGGAGGCGGGAGCGGGUGCGGUGGUGGUGGCAGCGGUGUCCCCGGCGUCCUUGGAUGUUGCGGCAGCUGCGCUACUCCGCUCCCUCACGCGCUUCCUGGCCUUGACGCGGCUCUCGGAGCGGGAGAGCGAGAGGACCUCCGCGGGCGUCAUCCAGGGGCCACGCGAAGUAGUCCCCGUCCUCCACCACCAGGUCUCCCUCGCCUCCUCUGCCGCCCUCUCUGGCUCCAAUCAUGACCUCGCCUUCCACCUCUAGCUCCUGCACCCUGGCGACCUCACGCGAGUCGAGCAGGACUGCCGAAACGCCCAAGCCUACCACGCCUACCACGCCCGAGCCGCCGCAUCCGUCCGUGUCGCCGUGCAUGACGCCCUCUUCGUGCGUGACCUCGCCGCCAUCCCAGAGGAUAGGUGGGCCCACGACGGCGACUACUUUGAGCGGCCCCUGGACGACGCCCGUGGAGGAGGCGGUGUGCUCUUCCGCGUGUUGGCGCGGUCGGCGGUGGCCGGCGGGAGGGUGAAGGGACCAAAGGGUAUUUUGGUCAGCCGGGGUGCAAAAAAUGGUGGAAAUGGUGUGAAUUGGAGAUUAUGGCAAAAGAAAGGUUUGAGAUCGCUUGGAAGUGGCAUUUUAACGAAACCACUUUGCGGAGUGGCAUUACAGCGAAACCCACGAUUCAAAGUGGCACAAUGUCAAUUUUCUCAUGCAAACACGAUUUAAGCAACAUCGGUUCAGCGUGUCAAUGACAGCAUCCAAGUUUUAGAUCGAAACAGCAAACUGAAGCUAAAAAGCAAGCAACAAACUCUGCACAUUCAUGGCACUCAACCGAUCGAUAGUACAUUAAUCGUGCAUACCAGUUGCAAAUCGAUUUACACAAAUCAAUGAAUCAUUCGCAUUUGAACCAAAUCAUCAAGAGCAUGCAUUAUACUCCCUCCGUCCCAAAAUGUUUGACGCCGUUGACUUUUUAAAAAAUGUUUGACCGUUCGUCUUAUUCAAAAAAUUUAAGUAAUUAUUAAUUCUUUUCCUAUUAUUUGAUUUAUUGUUAAAAUAUACUUUUAUGUAUACAUAUAGUUUUACACAUUUCACAAAAGUUUUUAAAUAAGACGAACGAUUAAACAUGUUAAAAAAAGUCAACGGCGUCAAACAUUUAAGAAAGGAGGGAGUAUAUUAACUUUGUGAUCGAUUCAAGUAUAGAUAUAUAGAGGAUGAGAUGGAGGAGAACCAAUGCAGAGGCGUUUCGGCCCAUUCUACAAACUGGCUGCUGGCUCAUUUGUCAUCUCAUGGAAUAUACAAGUCUACUUCGGGUUUUACGUCUAGUUUGAUCGGCAUCCUUAAAUAGUAAUAAUACCAUAAAGGCUUAUUCGGAUCACAAGAUUGUAAAAACGUAGGAAUAGAGAAAUCGUAUAAAUAUAAUAGGAACGAAUGUGUAAAAUAGAUGAUUAAAAAACAAAGGAAUUAUGUAGAUAGGAUUAGUAAAUAUGUGUUUGGAUAGACAGAGGAAAAACAUACGAAAUGGAAAAAAGGAGAUAAGAGUAUAUGGAAAUUUUUCUUUGUCUCUCUAUUGAUUCCACAUGAAAGGAAUACUUCCUCCGAUUUUCCUUUGGGUCGAUUCCUGUCAACCGAACGGCAUGAAAGGAAAUGUUUCCUAUUUACAAUAUUCCUUUGAAAAUCCUCAAAAAAAAAAAUCCCUCGAUCCGAAGAGGCCCUAAAUCUUUACACCUUGACUUACAAAACUAGGCUAAAUUAGGUCCCAUGACCGUAUGGAUGACUGGUUUUGCUUACAUGGCAUCCAAGUCAGAAAAAAGAAAAUAAAAAAAAUGUGAAGCCCACAUGUAAGUGAGAAGAAAAAAUAAAGAAAAAUAUGCAGAUGGCGCUGAUGACCUUCUCCAUCCCCUGGACCCUCGACGCGUCCCCUCGACCCUAUUUGGGUCACCUUCCCACCGCCCGAGCCGAUCCCACGCCCUCUCAACAUCGUUCUAUCGUCGCGGCCGACAUCCCACACCAUCCUCGACCUCCCACGUUGUCUCCAAAUGUUAUAAAACAUCAAGGUGGUGGAGGAUGAGGGUGGUAGCUAGCGGCAACAGGAAGAGAAGGAGCGCAAGGGUGGAGGAGGAAGCCAUUGCAGUGCCUUCUGGCCGGCGUGGGCGAACGGGAUUGAGGUGGCCGAGCUCACCGCCAUUGGGGUGCCGUCUGCUUUUGCGGGAAAGAGAGGGAGAGAAGAAGGGAGGAGAAUGAGAAUGACAUGUGGGACCCAUUUUUUUCCACAUAAACGCCUAGUUAGAACGAGUGGACCGGGUCAACUUACCACGUCAAUGAAGACAAUCAUCUAUACUAUCGCAGGACCUAAUUAGUUUUGUAAGUAGGCGUCCUAGAUUUUUCGUAUUAUGAUUUAGGAAUGCUAAUUAAAAUCGACGUAAAGAUAAAGCACAACAACUGAACUUAUUCCUCAUCUUAUCGAAAAAGCUACUAGGCUUAUUUGGAUAUCGGGGCUAUUUUGGGCUGUACCACUAGUACAGAAGAGCUUUUUCCAUACGGGCGAAAUGGAUCUUUCCAUGCAGCUAGCCUGCCCGCAUGGAACAAAAGGUCUGUAAAAAUCGCUAUUUCUCCAUGCGGGCAACACAACCGCAUGCAAAAAAGGGAUUUUCGCAUGCGGUCCACAUAGCCAACCGCAUGCAAAGAUAUUUUUCAGCCAAAAAAAAAAUUCCAAAAACCCCUCGAAACACUAACCCGCCGCCCGCCACCGGACGCCGCGUGACCGGCGCCAGAUCCACGCUGCUGCGGCCGCCGGCCGUCGCGGGGCAGCGCCGUGCCCGCCGCCCUCGCCGCCUGCCGCUGCUUGCCGUCGCCGUCGCCAAGCGUCGUGCUCCUCCGUAGGGCGGCGGAUCCAGCCCUCCCGAGGACGAUGUCGCCGCCGCUCGCCGCCGAGAGCCCCUAGGGCGGCGGAUCCGCCGCCGUAGGCCGUCGCCGUGCCCGCCGCUCGUCGCCGAGACCCCCAAGGGCAGCGGAUCCGGCCUUCCCGAGGACGGCGCCGCCGGAUCCGCCGCCGUAGGCCGUCGCCGUGCCCGCCGCUCCCCGCCGAGAACCCCUAGGGUGGCAGAUCCGGCCUUCCUGAGGACGGCGCCGCCUGAUCCGCUGUCGCUCCCGCCGUCUCGCUGUAGGGUGUCGCCACCGCGGCUCCUUGCUGCCGUCGCCCGCUCCCUCCUCGCGGACGCCGCUACGCCUCCUUGCUUCCGCCGCUGCUCCCGCCAUCUCGCCAUCGCCCGCUGCCUCCUUGAUGUCGCCGCCCGCUCCUCCUAGCUGCCGCCGCCGCCGCUCCCGCCGUCGCCCACCGCCUCCUGCCGCCGCCCAAGUGAGAGAGAGAGAGAGAGAGAGGACUUCACGGCGGUGAGGAGGGGGAGCGGCAGUGAGGAGGGAUGGCAGUGGUGCCGCCGCCCGAGGGAGUCACCGGCUACGGAGGGAUGGCGGGGGAGUGAGAAAGUGAGAGAGAUAGAGAGAGACAAGAGAUCUACAGAGAGAGAGAGGAGAUAAUAAGUGAGAGGAGAGGAAGAGAAGAUAAGGUUUGGUGUGAAAUUUUUGAACUGGUAGAGAGGGAAGGAAGAGGGACCAUUUUUACAUGCGGGCCACUUAACCACCCGCAUGCAAAAAUUGAUUUUUUGCAUGUGGCUUUUUAGAUUUCAAAUCGAUUUUUAUGUCACUAUAUUAACUCAUAUGAAAAAGUUACCAAAAACAAAAUUGUAGAACUCAUCAAGAUCUACAACUUUUGUUUUGACCACUUUUCUAUAUGACUUUGUUUGAAUAGUUUCAAAUUGAAUUUCAAAAUAUGACAACUUCAAACAAAAUUUUCAAAUAAUAAAUGAUUUCAAAUAGAAAUGUCAUCAACAACAAAGUGGUAUAACUUAUCAAGAUCUACAACUUUUGUAUUGGUCAUUUUUCUAUAUGACUUUGUUUCGACAGUUUGAAUUUGAAUUUAAAAUUAUGACAAUUUCAAACAAUAUUUUCAAAUAAUAAAUGAUUUCAACUGAAAAAGUCAUCAAUCACAAAGUGGUAUAACUCAUCAAUAUCUAUAACUUUUAUUUUGGUCGUUUCUUCAUACGACAAAGUUAUGUCUAAUAUUGUUCACAAAAUGUACAUCUGUUAUAUAGUUUUAUAAACUAUAGAGAGAGAUAUGUAAAUUUUGUGAAAAUGUUACGAUCACUUUAUCGGAUGAAAAAAUGACCAAAAUAGAAGUUAUAGAUCUUGAUGAGUUAUACAACUUUGUUGUUGAUGACUUUUUCAACUGAAAUCGUUUAUUGCUUCAAAAUAUUAUUUGAAGUUUUGAAAUUCAAAUUUUUAAUUGAUAAAACAAAGUCUCAAGAAAAAAAUGACCAAAAUAAUAGCAGUAAGAACACAAUAACAUGAUAGCGCAUGAUUUUAGAAACAUUUAGGAAAAAUAAUCAUCUAAUUUGGAGUUCGAAUGAGUGGGAUACACUAGUUUCAACUUUUAAAUUUCAAAUUUUAUUUUUGCAUGCGGGCGCUUAAGUGAGCCGCAUGCAAAAAUGAGCUCAUUUUUGCAUACGGCCCUCUUAAGAGGCCCGUAUGGAAAAAUCGAUUUUUCCAUACGGGCCACUUAAGGAGUCGUAUGGGAAAAUGACCCUCGAUUUUUGCAGACGCCACUAAUUAUGGUCCGUUUGCAAAAAUCAUGGGCUCUCGUACAGAAAAAUCACUUUUGUAGUAGUGUACGUAGGAAAAGAUAUCGCCAACAGAUAAGAGACCUCAUAGACAAUCCCAGCCACGAGACCAGCAUCCAUAUCUCAGAAAAUGGUCUUUUUGGACAAGCACACACGCCCGAACAGUUGGUCCAAUCAGAAACUGUGAAUGAUCGUGUGAAUUAACAUUACAACAUAAUUAGCCAUGUGGGUGGACAAGGUCCUUAGUCAUGAAAAGGGACAUCAUACUCUCUCGAGAGACAUUGCUAGAGUCUUGGAGGUUGUCUCAUAGAGAAUGGCAUAGUUUACAAAUGUGUGAAUUAACAUUACAACAUAAUUAGCCAUGUGGGUGGACAAGGUCCUUAGUCAUGAAAAGGGAUAUCGUACUCUCGAGAGAGACAUUGCUAGAGUCUUGGAGGUUGUCUCAUAGAGAAUGGCAUAGUUUACAAAUGUGUGAAUUAACAUUACAACAUAAUUAGCCAUAACAUAAUUAGCCAUGUGGGUGAAGAAGGUCCUUAGUCGUGAAAAGGGACAUCGUACUCUCGGGAGAGACAUUGCUGGAGUCAUGAAGGUUGCCUCAUAGAGAAUGGCAUAGUUUAUAAACAUGUGAAUUAACAUUACAACAUAAUUAGCCAUGUGGGUGGGCAAGGUCCUUAGUCAUGAAAAGGGACAUCGUACUCUCGAGAGAGACAUUGUUGGAGUCAUGGAGGUUGUCUCAUAGAGAAUGGCAUAGUUUACCGAUUUGUAUACCAACCAAAUGGCCCUUCUUGAGUUGUGACCAUCAAGUCAGAAAUAAUUAACAGAAUUGCUAUAUAGCUUCCGAUCAUGUGAGACGGGGAUCGAAUCGGUGACCUUGUGGGUGACAGCAUGCCUCACUAGCCAACAAGCCGCCCACAUGUUUUUAAUAAAUAUAAAUACGGGAUGUUUAAAUUAGUUAUAUCCUAGCUACAACCAAGUUACAAUGUAAUAAUACUCCAAUUAUAUUAUAAUCACGUUUGAAAUCUUUUCACCUAAAAAAUUGUCUAAUACUGUAUAUAUAUAGUUCCAAAAUUAAUUAAAAAGUGGAUUUCUUUAUAUUUCUCUUACUGGACUAAGGUUACACUGGAUCUUAAAUAUAAAUUACUUUAAUAUUAAUAGAAUUAAUGGAAUUGUUAACCAUCAUUCAACAUAAAUUUGGAAAGAAUUCUAUUUGGAGCAUUGGAAUGACGCCAAGCUUCAUAUUGGCUUCUCUUGCAACUCCGGCAGGCAGUGGCGGCAGCCAUGACCAGUUAGGGUUCAAUAUUUGGAUCAAUAUGAAAGGGGCUAGGGGAAAGGAAAGAAGGAGGUUCUCUCGGCGGCAACAAGUGGGUUGCAAAGCAGCGGGGGCACCACAAGGGCCACAAGGAUGAAGGCUAGUGGUGGGAGCCUGGGAAAUCGUGGAGUUAGGAGAUGAGGAGCGGCAGAGAUGGCGUGAUGCAUCCAAUAGCGUGGGAAUCACCGGGGAUAGAAGCAUGGUUUGGAAUUUCGGUAAUUACGACCCCCACCAGCAAGCACUAAUAUCCCCCAAAAUUUCAAAUUUUUAUCAAAUAUUUGUAAAUUUGGUUAAAUUUUGUUCAAAUUCAGUCAAAAUAUUUUAUAAAUUCAAAUAAUUUUGAUUAGAAAAAUCUGGAAAUCACUAAAUUUUCAAAUUUUCGAUAACCACUGAAAUUUUGGAAAUUUCGGCGGCAACCGAAAUUGCAAACCCUGGAUAAAAGAAUGCUAUCGUAAGGGAGGUUCACAUCCACUAUUAUAACUAGUUGAAACCCCACACGUUGCUGUGGGAUUUUGUAUCAAUACUUUGGAGAAAUGAAAAUACCAUAUUAAAAGAAAGAGAAUGAUAUGAUGGUUGAUACUUACAAAUAUUGAGCAAAUACUUGUAAGUAAAACUUCAGCCGAGCCAAUAUAGUCGAAAAAUAAAAUAGGGCAUGCAAUAUUAGGAACUGAAUUGCAGCAUCUUCGUUAUUCUCCAAAAGAAAUAGUCAUCUAGUUAUUUAAUCUAAAAAAAUGUUGCAUAUUUACUUGGUUAAGUGUUGUGCUUGUUCUGAACUCCUUUUUAAGUACCGUACAUAACAUAAUCUUGCUAACAACUGCAGUGAUUACUUGAUUAGUGAAGGAGCAUUGACGGCUUCAUAUAUAAAAGUAUGAACAGAUAGUUCCAGACCAUAGAGGUGACGAAUACUGUGUAAUUAUGAGUUCAGAGGAUGGUGUAAGGUAUUUGUGGUCUGUUAUGAAUGCUGAAGGGAUGUUAAGAGGCUCAUGAAGGGAUGCUAAGAGACUCGUUAAAUCUCCUUGUGGCCUAAUUAAUUGUGUUAGUUUUCCCUGUAAUUUCUCAAGCGGAAACGAAAAGGAGAGGAAAUGGAUAGGGGCAAGGUGAUGAGAUGGCAAUCUGUGCCAUCAAUAAUCAAUCCUAUGGUGAGAAGAAAAAUCAAUGACGUGGCUUCUUCUAAGCACAGCUAAUGGUCUUAACUUUCUAGAAAGAAGAAAUAACAUUACCAUUUAGGACGGCGGGACCCACGCACCAAUGAUCAUAACCUCAACCAUCGUGAGGCCAGGCACCUCUCUGCUGCAAGUCUUGCUAGUGCUAGCGAAGUAGGAGUAGACGACAGUCCUAAAAAUUGAUCUGGCCCAUCCAAAAAGUUAUUGAGUGGAGAGGAGUCUUUCAGUUAAAUAUUACUCCGUCACGUUGUCUAGGAGUAGUACCUAGACAACGGUCCGAAAUAGAUUAAUGUUCGAACUGAUGAUAAGCAAAGGUAAACUACGAUACGAUUUUAUACAAAUGAUGAUAAAUUAAUCAUAUCACGUACAAAUAUCGUACACACUGACCCACUGAUGCAUGCGUUCACAGCCACAGGUCAGGUGGCAAAAAUCGAUCAAUAUAUCAGACGUGGCACACACGUGCACCACACGUGUGAUACUAUUUCCUUCACUUGCAUUGGACCCACUUAUUCGUAGCUUACGUUCGCUCGCUCGCUCGCCGACGGCGACGCUCAUGCGGCGGUGCCGGCGUAGAGAUGCGCCGGCAGCCUGGGCUCGGCGACGGCGACGAGCGGCACCUUCCGGCGCGUGGACAGCCCGACCAGCUCCUCCAUGCUCACGUCCUCCGCCGCCACGCCGUCCGGCAGCCGCCACGCGAACCCCUGCACCAAGCUCGCCACGCCCAGCGCCACCAUCUUCAUCGCCAGGUUCGUCGCCGGGCAGACCCGCCGCCCCGACCCGAACGGCAGCAGCUCGUAGUGCUGCCCGCGCACGUCCAAUCCGGCGGCGGCGGCGCCGCCGCCGGGGAGGAAGCGCUCUGGCAGGAACGCAUCGGGGCGGUCGGGCCACGACGCCGGGUCGCGCGCGAUGGCCCACGCGUUCACCAGCACGCGCGCGCCGGCGGGGACGACGUAGCCGCCGGCGACCACCGUGUCCUCCAUGGCGUGGUGCGGGACUAGCAGCGGGCCCACCGGGUGCAGCCGCAGCGCCUCCUUCACGACGGCGUCGACGUAGGGGAGGUCGGGGAUGUCGCGCUCCGUCACCCACCGCGCCGUCCCGACCACGCGGUCGAGCUCGUCGGUGGCGGCGGCCAUGGCGUCGGGGCGGCGGAGGAGCUCCGCCAUCGCCCACUCCAUCGCCACCGCGCUGCUCUCCGUGCCGCCGGCGAUGAUGUCCAGGAUGAACGCCUUCACGCCGUCGCGCGUCAGCCUCGCCUCCGAGUCCGCGCCCGCGCCCGCGCUGCCCUCCUCCUCCUCGCCGGAGAGUUGCAGAAGUACGUCGACGAGGUCGCACGCCGCCGCCGCGGGCUGGCCGCCGUCACCGGCGGCCGCCAUGCUCGCCUCGUGCUCGUGAAGGAUCUGCUCGAGGAACCGGUCGUACAUCUUGCUCAGCCGCUUCAUCCUCCGGCGAAACCCCUGCACGUCGAGCCACCCCAGCAAGGAGACCCACUCGCCGACGUUGCUCACCGCGCCGGACACCUCGAACGCCUCGUCGAGCGUGCGCCGGAACGCCUCGCCGUCGGCGCUGCCGUAGACGCCCGACCACUUGUCGCCGACCGACAUGCGGAGGAUGUUCCGCAGCGUCGCGCUCGCGAGGCGCUCCCGCACGGCGACGGCGCGGCCGGCGCGGCCGAACAGGUCGCGGGCGAGCGCCCCGAUCUCCUCCGCGCGGAUGCGCUCGUAGGAGUCGACGCGGCGCGGGGAGAAGAGCUCGGUGGCGCAGAGCUUGCGCGCCAUGCGCCAGUAGGCGCCGUACGGGGUGUGCACGAUCCCCUUGUAGUUGUACGCGACGAGCUCGCCGGCGGCGGUGCGCGCGCGGUCGGCGAAGGCGGCGUCGUGGGUCUUGAGGACGAGCCUGGCGGCGCCGGCGGAGGAGGCGACCACGGCGUCGAACGAGCCCAGCCGGAGGUGCAUGAGCGGGCCGUGGCGCGCCGCGAGCGCCGCCAGGGCGCGGUGCGGCGGGAGCGCGCCCGCCAGGGCGCCGAGGCUGCCGAACACCGGCCACCCGCGCGGCCCCGGCGGGAGGUUCAGCCGCGCCUUCGUCCGGCGCUGGCGGCCACGCAACGAAGCCACGGCGACGCCGAUGAGGAGGGUGACGAUGGUGGCGACCCACGAAGACAUGGCCAUGCUCAACGAGAGCGCUGGUGCGAGCUCCAUAGUUUGUGGAAAUUUCUUGUGAUUGGAGUGUGCACGAGUUGCCUAGAGCUUUCAUGGUGCCAGGCUCUUAUAUAGGUGUAUGAGUUGAUGGCUUGAUGCAGCUACAAUUCAGCAUUAAUUCGUCAGAUUUAAUUUCACUCGUAUACUUUGUGUCCAUCCUACUCUCUCCGUUUCAUACUACAAGUCAUUCUUAAUCAAAAUUUACUUUUUACUUAGUUUAUAUAAAAAAUUAGAAAUAUUUACAACACUAAAUUAGUGUCAUUAAAUUUAACAUCAAAUAUAUUUGAUAAUACAUAUAUUUUGUAUUGAAAAUUUAAGUAUAUUUUUCUACAAAUUUAGUUAUACUUGAAGAAGUUUGAUUAAGAAAAAAAAAGUAAAAUAACUUGUGAUAUGAAACAAGGGAGCAAUUUCCUAGCCGCCACCCCAAUCCCGCUGGCGUUGACUCCACACUAAUUUCGGCUUAACAUGCACAUAUCUCUAACUGAAAUAGUUAGAGGUGAUGAAUCACAUUUAUGUUGUAAUAGUCAUCCAAUUUGCCGGACAAUGACCCAAUCAAGUUUAAGUUCAAUGGUAGUAUUAUGUUAUGAAAUUGACAUUAAACCACCUUAUGAAAACAUCUAUUUGUUUGUGAAGUGGCUGACAUUAAGGGGGUAAAUCCAUAGGUUAAAGUUUUGGUGUGGCACAUCAAAUAUACGGAUACACAUUUAAAGUAUUAAACGUAGCCUAAUAACAAAGCAAAUUACAGAAUCCGCUUGUAAACUGCGAGACGAAUUUAUUAAGCCUAAUUAAUUCAUCAUUGGCAAAUGUUUACUGUAGCACCACAUUGUCAAAUCAUGGAGCAUUAGCUUUAAAAGAUUCGUCUCGCAAUUUACACGCAAUGUGUGUAAUUAGUUAUUUUUUCUUUAUAUUUAAUACUCCAUGCAUGUGUCCAAAUAUUUGAUGUGAUAUGGUGAAAAAUUUUACCAGAGAUCUAAAUAGGCCCUAAACAUACCAGAGUUAGGAAUAGAACAUAUCUAGCUUAAUCCAAAAAAAAAAACGAAAAUAGGAACUACCCUCGAAAGCUAUAAUCCAAAAAAAAACGAAAACAGGGACUACCCUCGAAAGCUAUAUAAUUAAAGCUGAUUAGCAAAUUGGGGAGAUCUACUUGACUACCGCCGUGUUUAGUUUCAAAAUAUUUCUUCAAACUUUUAACUUUUCCAUCAUAUCAAAACGUACUUACACACAUCAACUUCUAACUUUUCCGUCACAUCGUUUCAAUUUCAACCAAACUACUAAUUUUGGCGUGAUCUAAACACAGCCUGCUUUUGUUCGAAUCACAAUGCAUGCGGAUUGCUCACACGCACGAUUGCUCAAAAAGUCAAACGCCACGGCUAGGCAAUUGGACUAGCCUCGGAAAGUUACGAAGGCUUUGUUCAGCAGUUACACGUAAAAUAGAGCGGUGGAUUAGUACAUAUUUAAAUACUAAUUUAAAAUUUUAAAAUGGAUUAAUAUAUUUUAGUGCAUGAUCAGCUUAAACACUUUAAAAUGGAUUAAUAUGUUGUAGUACAUGAUUAAUUAAGUAUCAGCUUAAAAACUUUGAAAUGGACAGAAAUGGUUUUUAAAACAACUUUUCUAUAGAAUUAUAUUUUUUUAAAAAAAAAAGAUACACCGUUUAGAAAUUCAGGAAGCGUGCGCGUAAAAAACGAGCAUGGAUAAGUUUGAAACUCUCAUUGCUCAACACACUCGAAUAACUCGUGGGCACUCCGCCGACCGGUUGUAGUCACGAAACACCGCAAGGCAUAUCUCAAACAGGGGGUCUUGCCAACUGGCGGGGAAGUAAUAUAGCAAUUGUAGGGUGCACGAUUUUGGUCAAAGCUGUGCUUCCUUCACAACCAAUAUACCUCCUAAUCUAACAACACUCAAGGUCAACAAGGAAUCCUUAGAGGUGCUUGAUAAACAAAGGAAGUGCUUUUUUAGGACGGGUCGGAAAAACUCACGAGAGGAAAGUCGAAGGUUAAUUGGAUAAGAACAUGUUCGCCAAACCGCAUACGACGGGUUAGGGUAUGGAACCUGAAAAAGUUUGCAAGGGUAACAAUGUGCGAGGAUCUGGACAAACAACUCUUUGCACUAGUGUUCCUCCGUUAAAUUCUCCACCGUGACCAUGAUCUUGGCAUUGAUUUCUUCAGACAUGUGGAUAUAAAAUUCAUGAUCCCACCAGGCGUGCCAAUUUGUGCCAAUUUGAUAUAAAGACAAUCGGCUGAUGAUGAUGUAAUAAAAUAACAAUAUAAUCUAAUAGAAACAAAUCGGCUAUCAAUAUGAUAAAAUAAGCAUUGAUUCGAAGGUUAAAGCAUACAUCGGCUGGAGGUCCGAUGUAAUAAAAUCCACAAGAUUGGAUUAAACAAUGAAACCUUUGUUACGAUCGGCUAAAUCCAAUAUGUAUGCAAUCCUUGUAAGCCGAUGCACCGUCUAGAUAACUCAUCGGCUAAAAUCCCGAUGAAACCCUUACUAGCAAUCAAGAAACAGGCCUGCCGACAUAGGUGUCCUCUUCUCCUCCCCCCCCCCCCCCCCGGCCCACAAGCAUAUCCUUGCGUGGAAUAUAGAGUAAGACAUUUGUUCCAUAAGUUAAACAUGUCUUUUAUGAUUGAGUGAUCAAUUAGCCGUUUCAUUCCUCAAUUUAAAGAGUACACCCUUAGUCUCAAGUUUAUAUGGAUUACACCUUAAGCACAUACAAUAAUCUCGUUUAAAGUUUUGUAAUAAUAAUAAGUAGAUCCAAUCCGCAUAGUUAUUUUUGGCUAUUCCACGCAAUUUGCGGUCAUUUUAAAAUAAACGAACAAUUGUUUCUUGACAAAAAAAAAUGAAAAAGGUUCAUUUUACUCACUCAACUAUUCUAUUGGAUCGCUUAAUCUCCUAAAUAUCCUAAUCCUAAAUAGACAAAACUUUCUGGAUGCAUGGCCGGUUAGAGUUAGAGUGGAUCUUCCUUUCCUCACAAUUUUGAACAAUACCAUGAGCAUAUAUAUAUAUAUAUAUAUAUAUAUAUAUAUAUAUAUAUAUAUGUAUAUAUAUAUAUAUAUAUGUAUGUAUAUAUAUGUAUAUAUAUAUAUGUAUGUAUAUAUAUGUAUAUGUAUGUAUAUAUAUGUAUAUAUAUAUGUAUGUAUAUGUAUGUAUAUGUAUGUAUGUAUAUGUAUGUAUAUAUGUAUGUAUAUGUAUGUAUAUAUAUAUAUAUAUGUAUAUAUAUAUAUGUAUAUAUAUAUAUAUAUAUGUAUAUAUAUAUGUAUAUAUAUAUAUAUAUGCUAGUGGAAACUUAUUUUCGCGUGUGGGUGAGCCACCCAUCCGCUCGAAAGUGUCUAUGAAAAUUGCUAUUUUUCGUGUAGGUGGCACCUGCACGUGAAAAUCCGAUUUUCACAUGAAGGUGCUAAUGUCGUCAGCAUGUAAAAAUAAAAAUUCAAAAUAAAUAAAAAAAACCCCUAAAAUCAAGACUUGAAACCCAAGCUAGGUGCGGUCCGCCUGCGGUGGCUCGUGGAGAGAAGUAGAUAAUAAUGGAGGGUAGGUAGAUUUUUUAAGGUGAAGAGAGGUCGGCUGGCCUUUUCACAAGCAGUCGUCCCGCAUGUGAAAAUAUGUUUAUUUUCGUAUAUGGAUCUGUUAAGGGGUUUGUCUACAAAAAUACAUAUAUUUCUUUCAUGUAGAUAUUUUAAGAAGCCGUAUACGAAAAUGCAUGCUGGUUUUUGCAAGCACAAUCAGGUCCGCUUGCAACACAUCAGAGGUCCUCGUAAAAAAAAUUAUUUAUGUAGUAGUGGCUCUUAGUCAUGUGAAGGUUAUUAACAUUCCAGGAUAUCUAGUUAGAGAAGGCUGGAGAUUUUGACCGUUUGUUGUUUUUGUGUCUUGUUUGGUAAUUUGAUGCUCCUCCUUUUUGGAUGGAACUUUUAUGAUGGCCGUAACAAUUGCUUGCGGACCUGGUUGGAGUUUUGGUUAUUGCAGUGCCAUAGUAGCAGUUUCACACUUUCAUAUUUUAGCAAAUUUUACUACUGGACAAAAAAAUUUGUGUAAUUUACCGGUAGAUAUCGCCAAAACAUGUCAUAACUAAAAGCCACUCUAGAAAAUUGGUAAUUUGCUAGAUAACACUUUCGACUUUAUUGAAGAAAAAUUCCUCAAAUAGACGAGAAUACCCCUGGACCACUCGCUUCAAACAUGGUGUUGGAAUGAAAAUUUAAAAUUUAUGCAACUCUAAAUCGGUCAUCAUCCCAAAUAUAUCGCUAGCAUAUAUACAUCAUAUUUCAUCUUCAAUCUAGCCUCGAGUCAUAAUCUUUUGUCUCUACAGAUAUCCUCGUCUUUUUAAGGAAUUUAUCUCUCUAAUUGAGCUAAAAGUGUUCUCCAACAAACUACCAGUUUCUUGAAAAUGUGUUUUAGGUGUGACACGUUUGUAUGAUGUCUAUUAGCAAAUAACAUAUAUUCUAAAUGUCUUGUAGUAAAAUUUAUCUGUUUUGAACUGGGGGAUAGUGGGAUAGCACUAUCUAAACAGAUAGAAAAAUAAGAAGUAGGAAUUCUUCCGGUUCCUGCCCUUUCUUCUUUGUGAACUACCGGUUGUAACCACUGUUCCAUUUCCGGUAAUGCAAAUGGGUGAGAGCUGGUCCCCUCCCUCAAAAAAACGAAAAGAAAAGAAAAUAAAUUCGUGGCCCGUAGAAGCCGAUUUUUCAUAAGCACAAUUAAUAUUGUUUUGAAACAAGCAAAUAUAGGCGUACAUAACGAUUGUCUGUAACUCUUGUUCGUCACAACGUUGAGAUAUGCACAUCAUGCUCUCAUUUUCUUUCCUUUUCAAAACAAAUAACAUGAUGUUUCAAAAAAAAAAAAGCAUCCAGGGAGAUGGUGAUGUUCUUCCGUGGUGUAGUAUGUAAGACCAAAAGUGUGUAGUGCUUGUUGGAGACUUCGGGUGCGACCCCAGCUAGAGUCUCUAUCUGAAUUCUGAAUAUCUGGGCUACUUGCGGCCGAAAUCGUCUGCAAGACCAAACUAUAGUGGGUAUCCUGGUCAGUAAACGCAUCGCAUUACAGUGGAUUGAUUUUGACAAACUGAUUCACACGUUCCUCUGGUGGACAAUUGCCGUGAGAAUUUGAGAAAGAUACAAAAGAACUUGACCAAAUAUAUGAUACGUCUUUCAGAGUUUUUCCAUCUGAAUCUUCAAGUGUUUGUCCUCCUCCUACACAUCUGUUAUAACGUGGUCUGAACUGUGAAGGUCCUUCCUGGUUUAUUCUUCCCCUCUGAGAAUAUUUUCACACUUCAGAUAGAGGAUUCAGAGCUAGGCUUCGAUUAAUCCCCAAGAGAAGAGGAGUGCACUCAUGCAUGGCGUCACUUGGCACAUGUUUUUCAUGAUAAAGUGGAGAAAUAAUAGUACUCCCUUUGGUUAUAAACAGUUAACAUUUAAUUAGGAUAAGAUUCUGUUGAUAUUUUUAAAACUUUAAUCACCAAUAACUUAUCAAGUAAUUAAUUGGCAUUUAUAGAUUUGCAUGAAAAAUACGAUCAUAGUAUCAUAAAACUUAAUAGAUUAUAAAUCCACCCCAAUAUGAAUUUUAAAAAUUUGAUCAAAUCUAAUUCAAACUGUCAAAUAAUCACUACCAGAGUGAGUGUCUCCCCCCCCCACCCCCACCCCACAUCACAAACCAUUGUGCUACCUUCUUUCUCUUAAUUUUUUUUUGCUCCAUUUGUUCAUAUCAUCGUUGAAUAUAUACAGUUAAUUACAUAACCAAUCAACAAUGGCAUUGCAUUGUUCAAGAAGAGAAUUCUUCUUCCCUUCUAAGAGCGAGCGACAUUUAAAAUUAAAUAAGAAAGAGAAAAAGAAAAAUGCAGCCAAAGGGCAAGUUUCUUCUUCCUCCUCUAGUUCCUUUCUACUCCCCCGUCCCAAAAUAUAAGUUGUAUCUAGAUAACUGUACGUCCAGAUUUAUAGCCAAAAGUUGUUAUAUUUUGAGACGGAGUUGGUAGGAACCCAAGAGCGAAGAAAAGAAGCGCGGGGACACGUGGCCGGCGUACGGAACGGGAAGCCGUCCGUCGCCGGCCGAUCACCUCAUGUGGUCGCUCAGCUGCGACGGGCUCCUCCAGAAGCCGGCGCCGUAGAACCUAGCCCACACCUCCUUCUCCAGCUCGCCCGCCUCCUCCGACGGGACGGCCGCCGCCGUGAUCGCCGCCACGGGCCACACCACGGGCGCCUUCUUCUCGCCGGAAUCGACCGCGCCGCCUUCGUCCACGAGGAGCUCGUAGAUCUCCCCGGCCUGCCCCGCCGACGCCGACCGCCUGGUGCCGCGGCCGCCGCGGCGCCCGCGGACGGCGCGGCGGCACAGCGCCGCCGGCGCGCGCACCGUGGCGAGCACCACGACCUCCACCACCGCGCACGGCAGGCAGCAGCAGACGGCGGCGCACCCCGCCGCGGUGCCCCCCGCCACCUCGCCGCACCGCGGCUGCCUCACCUGCUCGCUGUCCCACCGCUGGGGCUGCAUGCGCUGCUGCUGCUGCUGCUGCUGGUGCGGCGGCUGGCGGCGCGGCGGGAACGCCUGCGACCGCCUCAGCGGGUGGUCCGGCGCGUGCGCGUCGCCGGCCCUCGCCGCCGCGACGGCCACCGAGGUCGGCGGGCAGGAGGUCUCGGAGCGGUGGCGGCGGUGGUGGUGGUGGUGGUGGUGGUGGCCGUGGUGGUGCCUGCUCGACGACGAGGACCGGCCGCCGGCCAUGGCGGAGUCGCGCGGUGUGGUUCCGGCUGGCCUCACCGUCGUUGGAAGGCGUGGGGGUGGACGGCGAGGGGGGCAGCUUUAAUGCGAGCGCGGCGGGGGCGGGGGCGGUGCUCCCGGCGGCGAAUCCGGCAAGCCUCUCCCCAUUAUUGGAGCUUGGAGUUGGAGACGUACGGAAACCAUGCACGCGCACGUUCUGCCCCGGGCGACCUGCCUAAUUAACUUCUGUUUUUUUUAGCAUAAAAUUAAUUAACUUCUGUUGGUGCAUGCAUGUCACAAACUCACAAUGGCUCAAUGCCAUGUAAGGAGAUGAAGGAUUCCAUCGGGUGACCUAAUGAGCUAGAAAAAGUUAAAUUUUAAAUUUUUCAAACUUAAUUUUAAGAUUGAUUUUAAGAUAUUUUCGACAUAUGUUUUUUUUUAGCAUUGGCUUUUAACUCACUAGGAACACAUGUAUAAAAGUUGAGGACUGCUACAGAACGGGAUCCCGUUGCAACGGGAUAGACAUAUUAACUAUUCUCUUGCACGAGUAUCACAGGUAUCAGGUCCCAGGUAUCAUAGGUACCGGCUAACAGGUAUCACAGGUAUCGGGUACCAUGCAGCUGGUACCACAACAGGUAUCAGGUAUCAGGUACUGUCUUAUAGAAGGGUGUCUCGUUCCAACAGGAUACUGUUGUCUAGGUUUUCUGAUAAAAGUUUACCUACAAAUUUAUUUUUAUUUCCUAAUAAGUUGUUUUGGCUUAUUAGGAAAAAGGCCAAUCGAUGGGGCCUGAAAUAUUGAGAGGACUAGCUGUGAAUUUGCUAAAAAAACAAUCAAUUUCUUUAAUGGCCAUAGUUGUAUCAAGAUUUCAUAUGACUUAAUUACUCCUAGUUUACAUGACGCCUCUACCGAACUCUCUUGAUCUCGCUAUUUGCAUAUCUCCACCUGUUGGUGCCGACGAGGAUCACCUAUCACCCCUUCCCGGCCCAACUCAUUGCUAGUUCCCUCCCUCCUCCUCCUCAUAUGUCUUCCGUAUGUUUAGUGUGACUUCCCUACUUCGCGCUCUUAGCCAUAUGGCUUAUGUUGUCCCCGUCCAUCAUCCUCAUCCAACCCCUUGGCACCGGUGAUGCCGUUGUCUUGUCUCCUUGUCCUCAACCGGUUCUCCAAGACUUCAGACAUCCAUUUAACCCUGACUCUAACACUCCUAUCUCUAUCCCACUGCCACCAAUCUGAAUAAGCUAAAUUCAGAUAUUAAAGGAUGAAAUAGGAGUAUAUUUAAAUGUUAAUUGGAUGAGAUUUCUUUUUUAACGAAAGACAGCAUGAGAUUUGCCAGAUAUAUUAGAAGGAAUAAAAGGAGGCCUUACAGCGGCAUUAGAAAAGAAAGGAUUGGAUGAGAUUUGAUAAUUAAACAAUAGGGUGACGAGCGGUGGCUGUCAAGAAUUACUAAGGGCUUGUUUCAAUAAGCCAAAAUAUCAGUCAAUUAAUGUGCAUAGCUAUAGUUUAUUUUAUUUUUCUAUGUAGCACCAGUAACCUGCAAAAUUUGUAGUGUCUUGCGUAGCCACGGUAAUGCACCAAAUAUUACGCGUUUAGAGCGCUCUGUAAGCUAUUGUUGUACUGAGGGGAACCUCUGCAACGUUGAAAUUCUACUAAGAGACCAGGCACAUGUAUCUAUGCAUACAAAAAUAUUCAUGUGUGUUAACAUUUCAGCACACUCGGUAUGAUUGUGACCAUGUACAUCAUAUGAAGUUAUGAACACUUUCGAGGAUACGAGGAAUAUACUUAAUAAACUGGUGGUGCUGCCAACUACAGUGAGUCCAGUGUUAUCACUUCGAUGUCUUUUUGGUACGUUCUCAAGUACGUGUUGUGUUGUUGGACAUAAAAGCCUUCUUGUUUCUGAUAGUGUAACAUACGCUUACUGUUUCUCAGGAGUACUAUAAUUAUUCCAAGAUGGUGUAGUCCAUUCUCGCCAUAUUGAAAAUUCACCCAAAAACAUAAAACAAAAACCUUUAAUAGCCCCUCUAGCUGGCGAUUGCGCGCCAGCCCCUCCCCCUUUAGUCUUAACUACCUAUAUUAGUUUUUUUAGGGAACUGCCUAUAUUAGCUAAUAUACUUAACAUUAAUGAUAGUAAUUAGAAAAGAUUCUGGAGAUUUUUUGGGUAGAUUUUUUUUACUAACAGAUUGAUAAUUUUUUUAAGUUAGAUUUGAAAACUUUCGAUUUAAGUUUUAAAUUUUAAAAACUUUCAAGUCGGAUUUAAAAACUUUCAACUUGAGAUUUGAAAACUUUCAACUCAGAUUCGAAAACUUUAAACUCGAGAAUCGAGAUUCGAAAACUUUCAAUUUGAGAUUUUAAAACUUUCAACUCGAGAUUCGAAAACUUUCAAAUCAAGAUUUGAAAAAAAUUGAAAAUUUUCAAAUCGAGAUUUAAAAACUUUCAACUCGAGAUUUAAAAACAUUCAAGUUCAGAUUUGAAAAUUUUCAACCCAAAAUUUAAAAACUUUCAAACUCAAAACAUGCUAAAGAUUAAAAAAAAUCAGAAAAAAGUGGGGAAAAAAACGAAAAAAAUGGGUAAAGAAAACGAAAAAAAAAUGGUAGGAGGCGCUGGCGCGCGUAUUAGCGAUUCCGCAGCGGCUCAGCCCCCCGACCCGUUCGGCCUACACCAAACGAUUGAGGCCGCGCCGUGUGGUGUUGGGCCGGCCGGUGGGCCGGCUAGCUCGAACCCAACCCAACCCAACAAAUUAGGAAUUAAUAUGCACGUGAUCAGGCGAGGAGAUCAGCUGGUCUGCACGCGAAUCUUCUGCUGCCCUCCUGGUCCUGGACCACUAGAUCAUCGUAUCAAACUGCACGGCAAAAAAGAAGAAGAAAAAAAGAAAAGAAAUUCAUCAACGAGUUCAUCGCGCUUGCGGCUGGUUUGCGAUGGCGUGCUCUCUCUCUUUUUUACCUUGCAAUAUAAGAAAAGGAAAAACGUGUCGAUUCAGACGAUCGAGUACUGUGCAUGAAACUCUCGUUUCACAUACUCCCUCCAUUAUAUAAUAUAUAUAAGGGAUUAUUCUUUUUAAGUAAGUUUAAGGAUAACAAGAAAAUACUAGAAUGCCUUUAUUAAAUGAUAUUUGCUCAUAGGUGAGUGAGUAGUUGAGGUUGAAAUAGGUAAAAAUUUGAAUUGGAGUCAAUGGAUGUCAUACGUAGUACACUAAAAUCCUUAUAUAUUGUGGGACAAUUAGAAGGGGCAAAAUACUUUAUAUUGUGGGAUGGAUGGAGUAUCUCAUUUCGUUGUACGCAUCAAAUCCGAGUUUUUUUUUUCACACACAUGCAGCGCUAGCUUAUUGCUGCCUUUCAAUAAAAAAAUAUUUGACACCGUGCCACGCUUGACGGUGCCUACAUCAAAUGUUUUUGAGAUUGUAAAUUAUUGGGUGACUGAAAUUGUGGGAUAUUUCAGUCGCCUAUUAGCCAUGGAGCCAUCUUCUACCUUCAAAACAAACUAUACGAGCAAUUAAAAGAACUCAUAAGUGACAGGAUGGCAUCUUGUUUAGUGAUGGUAACAGUGUAACUCUGUAUAGUGGCCCAAUAAAAUUUACUAGGUUUUAGGAGUGGGUAGGGUAGUAGGGGGUUGGUAGGAGUGGAAGAUGGAGGUUUUCCCGACCUAUGGUGGGUGGCAGCGAGAUAGCAGUGUGUCGCCACAGGCCGGUGUCACUGAUGAGGGAAUCAUAGUCUUGUUGGAAUGAUUAGGAGGCAGGGUUGCGCUGGUGUUUUCAGCGGAGCAAACUGUCUUAGAUGAGGAAGAUGGUAGGACGGGAGCACCUCACCUUUGCCUGGUUUGGGAAGAAGAAGAAGAAGAGGAUAUGCGAGGUAGGCAUGGAAGUAGAGUGGUGGUGAAGCUGAUCAAUCUUGAUCUGACAGAAUCAGUGGGAUCAUGGGAGAGUGGGAGAAGACAAGAUAAAGUUGCUACAUGAAUCAUGGCAUGAUCUAUACUGUCCAAACGUGACAAUUUUUUUUAGUAUUUUCAGUUUACUUAAAAUUAAACUAGACAAUCGCAGUAUUUUUUGACUGGAAUAGAGUACCGUUGUCCUUUAGUUUAUAAGCCACUAAUAAAAUUUAAAUUGUAAAACUUAAUUUUAAGUUCAUUUCUAAGGUUCUAUGAUAGUUCAUAUUUUUAAGUAUUGGUUUCUAUAUUCUUACGAGCACACGUAUAGAUAAAAGAUACUCAUAAAUUUUCUUUCUUUUAAUGUAGGCCAAACAAUGGGUGCUGUAGUUGCGUGUGCAACCCAUGAAUCGAUCGAGCAAAGGUAAAAAAAAAAAAGAAUCGAUCGAGCAUGCAAGGGGGAGCAGGCGGGCCCACACCCGAAUGAUGAUGCUCUACUCCGUCGUAGGGCAGCUGGCCGGUGCUGUCACGAGAUCGUCCUAUACGUGUUUGAAUCAUGGAAUUAAUUUUAGUCCAUGUAUUUAGACACUAAUUUAGAGUAUUAAAUAUAGAACACUUACAAAACUAAUUACAUAAAUAAAAGCUAAUUUGAGAGAUAAAUUUUUUAAGCCUAAUUAAUCAAUAAUUAGAGAAUGUUUACUGUAGCAUCACAUAGGCUAAUUAUAGAUUAAUUAGGCUCAGCAGAUUCGUCUCGCGAAUUAGUUAAAGAUUAUGGAUGAGUUUUAUUAAUAUUCUACGUUUAAUAUUUAUAAUUAGUGUCCAAACAUUCGAUGUGAUAUGUACUGUUUUAGUCCCAUCUAAAAUAGGUCUUACUUACUCCAUGAGCAGUAGAUUAGCAAAUAACCACUGCAAUUAACAACGCGAGAUGAUACAAUUGUGACAGUGAGCGACUAAACUCUUUCCCUCGAGGGCUUGAGGCUUGAUCGAGCACGGGUUGCACUGCACGGCACGUGUCAGGGAUUAAUCGCUGAUCGAUCAUCGAUGAAGAGGCAGAGGAGGAGCCAGACACGCACGCACACAACACACCGGUGACCGCUCGAUCAAGCGUGCGUGCGUGACAACCGCGCGCGUAAAUAGCGCCGUUCCGGUCGAUUAAUUAACCGUUUGCUACGGUAACAAGGGGUCUCUUCUUUUACUUUUGCUUACUUAGUUAAAAUUUAAAUUUUCAAUGUUAAAUUUGAAACUGAUUUUAAGAUUUUUUCCAUUAAAGUUUAUUUUUUAUCUUUUAUUUUUAAAUUGUUACGAACAUAUAUAUAUAUAUAUAUAAAAGUUUUAUUCAUAAAAUAUUUUUCAUUUGUAAAUAUACCGUUUUGCUUAUUCCGCGAUGGCUCCAAGUCUCAACCCAUUUUUACCGAAACGGGUGUAGCGGCAGCUCGCUACAAAUCGAGGGUGCGUUCGUUCCUGGGAGGGGUUUAUGUGAGAAAGGCCAUCGUAUUCUGCGCGCACGUUUCCCAAACUACUGAACAUUACUUUUUUUUUGCAAAAAUUUUUUUAUAGGAAAGUUAUUUUAAAAAAUCAUAUUAAUCCAUUUUUAAAAUUUAAAAUAGUUAAUACUUAAUUAAUCAUGCACUAAUUUUACGAAUCUUUCUCAAUCUUUUUAAUCCCCUUCUCCUCAAACUCAAAAGUAUGUCAACACUGAUUAUUACUAGUACAAGCGUGUGAGAGGAUCGGAGAGAUAUCCCCGUGGAGCAGAGCACGCACGCAUGCUUCGCGUCACUGCACGCAUGUGACAUUGUCAACUUUUGUCAACGGUGGUAAUUAUUACAGUGUUUUACUCCUACUACUACUUACUUCUCUUUUUUAAUCUACACAAACGAUAUGUGCAAAUGGAGUUGGAGCCUCCUUGGGCGUGCGUGUCGCGUGCGCGCUACUUAUUACUGAGCUGGCGCGCCUAGGCACGCGUGGGUGGCGUUAAAAAGAGAAAAAGGAAAAUCUCCCCUCCCGUCUCGUCGUCUCCUCCGCUCCUUGCGCCAUCUCGCGGCCGAACAGGGGAGAGGAGGGGAGGGGAUCCUGGUGAGGUGAGCAUCCGCAUCCUCUUUCUCAUCCAUCUCUCUCUCCCCACUUCUCUCUGGAAUUUGCUCGCGUUUCUCUUCUAGAUCUGGAAGAAGCUCUUCUCUCUUCAUUUCACAGCCUUAACCUUACUCCUCCCAAGUAGUAGUAGCAGUUUGCUUGCUUGUUUGUUCCCCCAAAAAGUUUGAUCCGCCCCUGGCUCCUGUGAAUUUAUUCGAUCGCUUCAAUGUGUGCGGAUGUGCCCGUGCUGUGGCUGUGAGAUCGAUGGAUCAAUCUCUGGAUUAAUUUUGCUUUUGCUUUUUUUGUUCUUUUGGGGACGAAGGUCUCUGACGCGGAGCACAUGGACGCGGAGAUGGCGGCUCCUGCGCUUGCGGCAGCUCAUCUGCUGGACUCGCCCAUGGUACAGACGCGCAUCUUCGCUGACACUUCUUUCCUUGCGCCUUUUUUUUUUCAAUUUCCAUCUCCUCGCCUGGUUAGUUUCAUUUCAUUGAUCGCAUAUGCUCAGUGUGUACGAGUUGCUUUUGCUGAUUAAAAUUCGAUCGGUGGGGGUGAGUGUUUGGGGGGUUUAGAUGGUUUGCUAUUUGGAUGCAGUUGCAUGGUUGUGUGGAUUUCUCUACCAAUGAAUGUCUUAGUAGUAAUUGGAUCAGUACACUUAAUGCAGCUGAUGGAUUGAAUCAAUUUGGGUGGUUUGUUGUGUAAUUACUAGCGAUUGCGAUGCAUGUGUGGCGAAAUUAGUGGGCUCAAUCCAUAGCUUAGUAGUAGAAUCCAAGACUUGGAAUUUCAUGCAAAGAUCCCUAUUAGGCUUGUUAAUCAAUCUCUACAUGUUGAUGUUACGUUCUUUGGAACCGCACUUGUGGCGUACUAUUUCCAGUCAAUUUAUUUUGCCUGCUGCCUGUUGCGAGUACAACCAGAAAUUGCUGAUUUUAGUGGACAUGUCAUAGAUGGAACUAUAUGUGUCUUGCAUGUUUCUAAUGUUACUCAUGCACGAUAAGUGGUUUUGUUAAGUGAAAGAUGCAGUUGGGGUAAUAUUAGUUCAAGUUGUUAAUAAGUUGACAAUGCAGUGAUGCACGCUCUUUUCGUUUGGUACGAUGUCCGGUUAAUAUGGUAUAUCUUGAAGAUUAAUUUGCAUGUUCUAAUUAACCAAAGGGCUUAAAAUUUGACAUGUUUCAGUUGUCCAACUAAACUGGAGAUAGAUACACGCGUCAUUGAGUUUUCUUUUACUGAUUAGGCGAUUACUUUCUGAAAACCAUAUGUUUUGACCAACUUGCUGUCAUAGUUUUUUUUUUUUAACCUCAUGGAGUGAUAGAAUUAGCAAUAAUGAACUUUAGUUCCUAUAUAUGUUUAAGGUUCCAUAUACUUGCAUGCAUGUGCAAUUUACUGACACUAGUGCUGUUAAGUUCAGUUAACAUCAGCAGCUAAUUAGUCUGGGCAGUGUCACAGAAAAAAAAAUCUUAAAGCAAUACUAGAUCACAGACUCACAGCUAGUAAUUCGGUUCACACAUAUGGAUCACUUUGUCAGGAAAUCAUGCAUGCACAGAAAAAUUGCUCCCCUGUGUUUAUUUUGCUUCUAGGUACAGUACAGAGUGGUACGUGAUGUUAAUUGGUGUCUCUCUUCCACAAGGCUAGAGGUUUAAUUCCAUCUCACGCACGCUGCACGCGCACCCUCUAUCCCAAGCUUUCCCGUUUCAGUAUCUCUGAUCGCUCACUGCACCUGCAUUACACGAGCCAAAACGCCUGACCUGUGCUUUGCAUGUGUUGUGUUGGCCCAUUUCCAAGAGGCCACAGGUGAGCAGAUACUACUCCAAGAAGAGGGGUAGCAGCCACAGCAGAAAUGGCAAGGAUGAUGCCAACCAUGACGAGUCCAAGAACCAAUCACCCGGCUUGCCCCUGAGCAGACAGAGCCUGUCCUCAUCUGCCACCCACACCUACCACACCGGUGAGCAGAGCAAUGCCUCCAGGCUUUGAACUCUAUCGUCUAGUUUAUAUUUGUGCAAGAGCAGUUCCCCCAACUCUGUUUGUGCCAAGUUCUUGAAAACCUGUGCUGUUUUUGGUUUGAUCAGGAGGGUUCUACGAGAUCGACCACGAGAAGCUUCCCCCCAAAUCCCCAAUUCAUCUCAAGUCCAUACGCGUGGUAAAGGUGAGCCUUUUUUUUUCUUACUCGUACACUCGACUGCUAGCUUUGAUCUGGAUUGAUUUGAUGAAUUGUUCUCGAAAUGUUUGAUCUGGAUUGCUUCUCGCUCGUGGUGUUGUGGUCUUUGGUGGGUGCAGGUGAGCGGCUACACAAGCCUGGACGUCACAGUGAGCUUCCCGUCCCUCCUGGCGCUGCGAAGCUUCUUCUCCUCCUCCCCACGGUCGUGCACUGGGCCGGAGCUCGACGAGCGCUUCGUCAUGAGCAGCAACCACGCGGCCCGCAUCCUGCGCCGUCGGGUGGCCGAGGAGGAGCUCGCGGGCGACGUGAUGCACCAGGACAGCUUCUGGCUCGUCAAGCCCUGCCUCUAUGACUUCUCCGCGUCGUCACCACAUGAUGUGCUGACCCCGUCGCCGCCGCCUGCCACAGCGCAGGCGAAGGCGCCGGCAGCCAGUUCCUGCCUUCUCGACACCUUGAAGUGCGACGGCGCCGGGUGGGGCGUGAGGCGCCGUGUCAGGUACAUUGGUCGCCACCACGAUGCUUCCAAGGAGGCCAGCGCUGCCAGCCUCGAUGGCUACAACACAGAGGUCAGCGUCCAGGAGGAGCAGCAGCAGCGACUGCGGCUUCGACUGCGGUUGCGACAACGCCGGGAGCAGGAAGACAACAAGAGCACUAGCAAUGGCAAGAGGAAGCGGGAGGAGGCAGAGAGCAGCAUGGACAAGAGCAGAGCCGCCAGGAAGAAGAAAGCCAAGACUUACAAGAGUCCCAAGAAGGUGGAGAAGAGGCGCGUCGUGGAGGCUAAAGACGGCGACCCUCGGCGCGGCAAGGACCGGUGGUCGGCCGAGCGGUACGCAGCGGCGGAGAGGAGCCUGCUGGAUAUAAUGCGCUCCCAUGGUGCCUGCUUCGGUGCGCCGGUGAUGCGGCAGGCUCUGCGGGAGGAAGCCCGCAAGCAUAUCGGUGACACCGGCCUCCUUGACCACCUGCUCAAGCACAUGGCCGGCAGGGUACCGGAAGGCAGCGCGGACCGGUUCCGUCGCCGGCACAAUGCGGAUGGUGCCAUGGAGUACUGGCUGGAGCCGGCGGAGCUUGCCGAGGUACGGCGGCUGGCUGGAGUGUCUGAUCCAUACUGGGUGCCGCCACCUGGGUGGAAGCCAGGUGAUGACGUGUCCGCAGUCGCCGGUGACCUCCUGGUCAAGAAGAAGGUGGAAGAGCUCGCUGAGGAGGUUGAUGGUGUAAAAAGGUCUCCUUUCUCUCGCUUUUUUGCAGCUUCUACUUCUUGUUUGGAGAAAUACCAACAUUUUUGUCAGUUCUACGAGUUCUGUGCUAAAUUUCACUUGGGCUGGUGGUGUGAAGGCACAUCGAGCAGCUCAGUUCUAAUUUGGUGCAGCUGGAGAAGGAAACAAAAUCUGAGGCAGAGCGAUCUUACAGCUCUAGGAAGGUAUAUAGCCCAUCAAUCCUGUCGAUUAUUUCCCUUGCAUCCAUUUUCCUUCUGUUUAUUGUUGUUACUUCUCAAGAAAGCGGGAAUGUUUUUUUGUUUGCCCAUUGUGACUUAAAAUGUAACAAGCUAAUAUAACACUUGAGUUGCAUUGACCUGCUUGCCUGUAUUUUGAGUUGCAUUGACCUGCCUGCCUAUAUUUUGAAAUCUAGUCCUUUUAUUUGUUUUUUCAGAAUUUCCAUGUAGGUAUUAUCAGUAGUUAUGGCAAUUGGCAAUCUGGUCUUUUUCAAUCUCUGAAAGUGUAAAUUGUGAAGGACAUAUAUGCAGCCAGCUAAAAUUUCUCAGCUUUACUUACAUUGACAAAAGCAUACACUUUUGGCAUGCCUCUCUUCUGUUCUGCUCUGCUUUCCAUUAUUGGAGCACUCAUUUCUUUAGCAUUUGUUUUUCAGGAGAAGUAUCAGAAGUUGAUGAAGGCAAAUGAAAAGCUCGAGAAACAGGUGUUAUCUAUGAAGGUAACUAAACAACACCUCUCAUCCUACUCCUGCGCUUUCAUCUCAAACUAUGCAAAAGCACUGGUACCUUGUUUAGCAACAAAUGAUCCACGUCUCUGAUCAUGUUCGAUUAUAUGCCUGCACUUACAUUAAGGUAAAACACAUAUCAUUUCCUUGUUUAAAUUACAGGACAUGUAUGAGCAUCUGGUUCAGAAAAAGGGUAAGCUGAAGAAGGAGGUGCUGUCCUUGAAGGUAUACCCCUGCAGAUACACCUGAAAUUUCCACCAUGAUCUGCACUUCACCACACAUUAUGAUUUUCAAGCAAACUAAGCAGUUAUACUCCUUGGGACUAUUUUACUUUGGUCCACCAUGUUUCUGAUUAUUCUGUUGUACCUAGCUAUUUGCAUGUUUAAUUAUACAACUCUUGAUCAUCAACUGGUACCUUUUCAGGAUAAAUACAAGCUUGUGCUGGAGAAGAAUGAUAAACUGGAGGAACAGAUGGCUAGUCUCUCCAGCUCCUUCCUUUCUUUGAAGGUUGGUUGCCCUUUGUGGGUUCUGCUUCUAAUUGUACCUGAAACACAUGCCUUAUUCCAAAUCACCUGACACCUCUGCAUGCACAGGAACAAUUGCUGCUGCCAAGAAAUGGAGAUAAUCUGAACAUGGAAAGGGAAAGGGUGGAAGUGACUUUGGGCAAGCAAGAAGGCCUUGUUCCCGGCGAACCACUGUAUGUUGAUGGUGGUGACCGGAUCAGCCAGCAAGCAGAUGCCACCGUCGUCCAAGUCGGCGAGAAGAGGACGGCGAGGAAGAGCAGCUUCCGCAUCUGCAAGCCACAGGGAACGUUCAUGUGGCCACACAUGGCGUCUGGCACGAGCAUGGCCAUCAGUGGGGGAGGCAGCAGCAGCUGCCCUGUCGCCUCCGGGCCAGAGCAGCUCCCUCGCAGCAGCAGCUGCCCCAGCAUUGGGCCUGGUGGCCUCCCGCCGUCGUCACGAGCCCCAGCCGAGGUGGUGGUCGCGUCGCCACUGGACGAGCACGUGGCGUUCCGCGGGGGCUUCAACACGCCGCCCUCGGCAUCGUCCACCAACGCCGCCGCUGCCGCCAAGCUGCCUCCCCUGCCCAGCCCGACGUCACCUCUCCAGACACGGGCCCUGUUCGCCGCUGGCUUCACUGUCCCGGCAUUACACAACUUCUCCGGCCUCACCUUACGCCAUGUGGUAAGUUCAAACAUCUGCAUCCGCACUUUGAUUUCAACUCCCAACUCCUCCCAAGAACUGGAAUUCCUUGAGCCUGUCAGAUGCAAGAUGGACGGCUUGGAUGACCAACCAGUCACCCACAGAGAACACUUCUCUUCCCUUCUCUUUCUUCAACAUGUGACACCUGACACUGAUAAUCUCGUAUUCAUGGCUGGCUGUUCGUCUGUCUGUGCAGGACUCCUCGUCGCCGUCGUCCGCGCCAUGCGGUGCUAGGGAGAAGAUGGUGACCCUGUUCGAUGGAGACUGCCGGGGGAUCAGCGUCGUGGGCACCGAGCUGGCACUGGCCACUCCGUCCUACUGCUGAUCAAGUUCUUCCCUCCCCUUCUGCUUCGCCACCCGCCCCCAUAAUUAAUUAAUUAAUCACGGAACCAAAAGAUUUAUUCUAGUUUAAGGUAGAGAAAUGAUAACAUAAGAAGACAAUAACAACACACACACACACACACAAAAAUAUAAGAUAGAAGAGGAAGAGUUAUUUUUCUCGGUUACAAACUCAAAGUUGCAGUUUAGAACUUGGUAAGUAGAUGUUUCAGGCUGGUUGGUCAGUUAAUGGUUUGAGUCCCCAUGUCUGUACUGAUCGAUGUAAGCCUGACAAAUUUUGGUAGGCUGAUACUCUCCCUAGCCCUUCGCGUGACACAUUCGAAGUGGAAUGUGUCCAGUUUUCUGACGGGCUAGGUCCGCUAUUUUGUCCUGGAUACAUAUUCAUUAUUCAUCAUUGCCAUUGGUAGUAUAUAAUUUAAGAUCUGAUUCUAUUGCACAUUGCACUAGAACUCUGCAUGCUUGGAGCUCCUAUCUUGAGCACUAGCUACAAGCCUUACAACUUCAGUUUCCUUCGACAUGUGCAGCAAAUUACUCUGAAUCUGAUUUGGAACUGCAUGCUUAACGAGUCGAGGCCUGCAGCUUCAACACCCGCUUACAAAAGUGUGGAUUUGAGUCUUAGUCUCAGUUUGAAAACAACUAUUGAGCAGAUCGCUUUAUGGAUUAUUAGAUUAUUAUUGAGCAGAUUGCUUUACGGAUUAUUUACUUGAUUAUGAAAAUAAAUUAAAUAUUUUUAGUAAAUAAAUCUAACAGUUUAAAACAAAUAUAUAUAUAUUAUUACACAGCAGCAGCCGGAGGAAGAAGAAGUUCAGAUGGAGAUGGGAUUUUGUACUUUAUGCCAUCCUUCCAAACAACUUGUCAACUUGGAUUAUUUGCCACUCAAACUUGUCAAAUUGUUUCUAUUUUGCCAUUAUAGCUAGCCAAAUCAGCAAACUAACAUGGCAACAAGUUGCAAAUGACCUUAUUGCCCAUAUUCUUCCUUCUUCCCUUGACCUGAAGACGACACGACGAAAUCGGGCGGUGGUCCCGCACGCCCCUCCCAUCCGGCGGUGGCCUCGCGCCCAACUCAAAUCCCCUUCGACAGUGAAGGUGUGUGGCCCAACACACCGCUCCUCUCCAAUGAUGGCGGCGGUCGUGGGCCUCAGCCCCAUGCCUCACUCCCCUCCGGCGACGGCGGUGGCCGUGGGCCUCCCUCCCCUUCGGUGGUGGACUGGUGGUCGUGGCCUUGCGGCUCCCCCUCCCCUCUGGUGAUGGCGGCAACCUUGCAGCUUCCACCCUUUGACGGCAGCGGGCCCCCACUCCCUCCUCCCCUCCGACGGUGCCAUGUGUCGAUGCCGCUCCUUCCGCCGCCUCCUUAGAUCCCACCAUCGGCACGUCAUUGUUAUUGUAAACACAUCGGAGCUGAGAAAGAAGAGGAGCGCUGGCACCUUGGGCUCUUCACUACCGUGACCCAUCCUCUAUGGCUGCUUCCCCUCAUUCUCCGUCUCCUCUACUGUAUUGGGUAUGCAAGAGGAAGAAGAUAAGGGCAGGGUUGUAAUUUUUCAUUUGGUUUGCUGAGUUGGCUAGUCAAAAUGGCAAAAUGGAGACAAUUUGAGGAUCUGAGUGACAAAUAAUCCAAGUUUUUUUUGGGUAGAGUGGCAUUUGAGAACGUGCUAUCUAGAAGGAAGGAUGGCAUAAAAUUAAAAAAAAAACCAGAGAUAAGCAGCUGUGCUAGCUAGUUGCGCCAUGCACGCCAUCCCUGUCGAAGCAUCUCAACACAAGAUGACAAGAACACAAUCUUGCUUCCAUCUAUAGAUGGCCAAAAGGCCCGAGGCCCGACGGCCCGGCCCAUGGCACGGCAUUUUGGCCCGGCCCAUGGUACGGCACGGCCCGACAGAGGUUAACUAUUAGAUUUAACUAGCAUGGUGGCCCACGCAGAUUGCGCGGCUAACAUUAUUAAAAAAAGUUUCUUACAUAGUAGCAUAUAUGUUUUCAUAUUUUAUUAUAAAAUGUAUUAAAAAAAGCCAACAUAAAUUGUAUUUCUACGUGGAGUAUUCUCUCGGUAUUAAUUAUUUUCUAAUUUAAUCCAAUUUUAGAUUUUCUUUUUAUAAAUUAUAUUUUUACAUGGCUUCUUAUUUCAAUAUUUAUUGUUUUGACAUAUUUAAUCCAAAUUUCAUAUUUUCGAAAAUUGUUUUUUAUAUGGAAUCACCUUUUUGUUUGUUUUAUUUUUAUUUGAAUUUCAUAAAUUUUUAAAAAUAUGACCAUGUUUUUUCUUUUUAAUUAAUAUGGGAAUUUCUAGGCCAUGAGAGCAAAGUGGUGAUUUGUUUUUCUAUUAGCUAAUUUCGGCGAGACGAUUUCCCGCGUGCCAGCUAUGAUUGUUUUGUGUAUUUGUAUCUUGCUUCGGUUGCUAAGUCUAUGUAUUUUUUUAUAUGAGUAUAGUGAGUACAAUUCGAAAUAGAUAUAUGCAUUACUCGGUUUCUGUUUCUGAUUUGUUUCACUUUGAUUGAUCAUGUAUGGUCGUGGUUUUCCAAUUAAAAUAUUGUUUCCAAAUUGAAGAAAGAAUUCUGAUUUACUGUACUAAGUAAGCAAUCUAUAGGGUGUCCAAUUUAUUUAUUUAGGGGGUGUUUAGGAGAGAUGGGGGCUAAAGUUUAGCCCAUCUCUCCCAAACACCCCUUAUUUAUUUUGCUGUUUCGUCUUGAAUUGACUGCACCGCGGACGAUGAGGCCGAUCGAGUAUGUUCUGGAUCGUACGUGUGAUGAUAUGACGGGGGGUGUACGAUGAUGUGCACGGCCGCCGCCCGGGUAGGGGACAACUGCAUGAACUCUAAAUUUGCACAAAUUUUGAUAAUUUAAUCCUUUGCAAAAACUAUUUUUACAAAUGAAUCGCUGCCAAAACUUAUUUCAAAUCUGACCCUUUUGCUCAGCGCCAAAUCAUGUGGCGCUGAACUUAGACACCUUAGCGCCACGUCAGCUGGCGCUGAAUGCCGUGCCACGACGGAUGGGAGACUAAGUCAGCGUGCCAACGUACAUUCAGCGCCAUGCUAUUUGGCGCUGAGGUGUCUAAGUUCAGCGCCACACGAUUUGGCGUUGAGCAAAAGAGUCAGAUUUGAAAUAAGUUUUAGUAGCGGUUCAUUUGUAAAAAUAGUUUUUGCAAAGGGUCAAAUUGUCAAAAUUUUACCUAAAUUUGGGGUACAGUUUUGCUUAAUUAUUGAUGUUUCUCAGCUUACUUACUGUGAUUAGUACUGUAUAGUGUGUAUGUUGUGCACUUGUGCUAGUGUUAACUGUUAAGUAAUACUCCCUCCAUCCAGUGGCGGAGCUAGAAUUUUCUCAAACCUAGGGCUAAAUUAGUUAAAUGUAUAUAACUUUGCCUUUAUCUUCUAGUUUUUGAAGUUUUAAAAUAAAAUUUUAAUGAAUAUUUAGGAUCAGGAGUAGGGCUGCAGCCCAAGCUGCCCUACUCCUGUCUCCGCCCCUGCCUCCAUCUAUGUUUGAUAGUCAUAUUUCCAAAUCUGAAAAAUUUAUUUUUUCAUAGGCAUAUUUCAAUCCAACAACCUAUCAUCUUAAUGACUUUCUUAGAUUUAAUGCAUAACUCUCAAUUCUUCCACACAAGAUUGGCUAUAUGGGCAUCGAGAAAUGUAAAUAUUAAUGAAUCGCUUGUUUACGAGGAAUAACUAGUAGCAUGUUUAAAUAGAUGAUGAGUAUAAUUACUUAUCCUUAAUCUAUGUGCCAAGAUGAUUGGAGUACAAUAGAUCAACUUUUUUUUUUGAGAAAUGUAUUUUUUUAAGCGUGAAGUAAAUAAUUCAUUUUAAAAAUCUAGUGAAUAAACAGAAAGGACCUAAGCCUACUCGUUUCCACUUUGAUAUAAAGUUAUUGCUUUGAUACUUCAGAACUAGGUGAAAGACCCUCACAAAUAAAUUACUUCCUGUCUUCUCGAAUAACUGGGACCGGUGAGGGUUGAUUAUGAAUGAAAGUUACGUAUUUAUACUUAUGGUGCUACACGAUUGAUAAAAGUAUCUAGAAAGGACAAACAGUCCAAAUUUUAAGUUGGUGGGUUUCAAAUAUUCGGAAUUAAAUAGAAAAAUGAAAAAAUAAAUAUCGGGAAUGCUACAAGAUGAUAUCUCAUUCAUACAGGAUAAUACCGACUAGGUAUCAAGUCCUGAUACAUUUGAGGUAUCAUGUCCUGAUAUUUAACUGGAUACCUAGUAGAACAUGAUACCUGAAUACUCGAUAGGACCUUAUACGUGAUAGAUAUCACCUGAUAUCGAACCAGUAUCAGGAUAUGUUACCUUACAAAUAUCAGAACCUGAUACCUAAUCGCUAUCAUCAUGUUUAAAUAGGAUUCUGUUGUAUAGCAACCCACCUUUAGGGCAAUCUUGACGAAGGGCUGUUUGAGGCUUUGAGCUCCUGUUGGGCCGUUCCCUUGCACGGUUGUGUUAGAACCAUUUUUUUAUUUUUAUUUAUUAUAAAAUAUUUUAAAAAUAAUUUUUUAGUUGAAAAAUAUACAAAAUUAGUUGUCCAUCGACCUCUGGUAGGACGAUUUUCUACGUGUUCUCCAAGGAGCAAAUAGAGAGUGAGCUAUGCCCUGGCUGGGCAGAGCGAGGGAUAGGCGCGGGCCUCCCGCACGGUAGAAAAUCGUCCUCCCAGAGGGCAGCAAGGGGCUAACUGCAGAAAUGCCACCCCUCCCGUAAAAAUGCCACCCCUCCCGUACAGUAGAAAAUAGCCCUUUCAGAGAGCGGCAAGGGGGUUGCUUGCAAAAAUAUCAGUCCGUCCCAGUCUUUUACAGGCGGCCCCCUUGAGCUAAAAAUCGUUCUCAGGGAAAGCGGCAAGGGGGCCACCUGCAAAAAUUUGGUGCCCUCGGUGACAGGCUGUUAUGGGAGGGCCAACGGUCAUUUGCCACGUCGGAAAAAUCGCCCGCCUUCCUAGAGGGUGAUGGGCGACAAGUUCUAUAAAAUUUUCAAAUAAUUUUUUUUUUCUGUAAGUACUUUAAUAAAUAAAGUUAAAAUAAAAAUAUUCGGUUAGAACAGGUUGGCCGGUCGCUCUGGUUACUGGUUACUGGUUAAUAGCUUCUGAUCACUGUCAUUGCCACGCCGCAUCUAUUCAAUCCAAAAAAGAAGGGCCAGAAAAAAAGAACUUAGGCAAGUUUCGUGGCUGCCAAGUUUUUCGUGGUCCUUUUUGUCCGGAAUAAGUCCAUUUUAGCCAAAUCUGAUUCGUAUCCUAAACCACAGUACUAUCGAAUAUCUUGAUCAUGAACUAUUGAAACCAAUGCAGUUUGACUCCCUUGACGGUUUUAGACAGUGGUUUCGCUGACGUGGCGGUGUUGACUAGAUCUUUGUCCCACGUAACGAUGACAUGGCCCUGAUGUGGCAUUAGAAUUAAACAAAAUGUGGGACCUAUUUGUUAUGGAAAAAGUAAUGUCUUCUAAUUAUAAUAAUACCUAAUCACCACGGAAACGAAGACCAGGUCAAUACUGUCAAGUAGACGUCACGUCAGCGAAUCCGUCCUCCAAAACUGUCGAGGGAAUUAAAUUACACCAAUUUUAAUAAUUGGGGGUCGAGAUAUCUAAUAUUAGAGUUAAGGGAUACGAAUAAGAUUCAGUCAAUUUAAAGAAGUCAUAGUGAACUUAGGGUGUAUUUAGUUCAUGUUAAAAUUGAAAGUUUGGUUGAAAUUAGAAAGAUGUGACGGAAAAGUUAGAAGUUUGUGUGUGAAGAAAAGUUUUGAUGUGAUGGAAAAGUUAGAAGUUUAAAGAAAAAUUUUGGAAGUAAACUCGGCCUUAUUCUUUUUUCUCUUUGUGUCCAGACCACGUGAAGCUGUACAGUCUCCACACGUAACCAACCACGUGUUUAUUUCAGAUCCAACGGCAGCUGAUCAACCCAACACACAGAUCCAACGGCGGAAGAGAGCUUCCUUGCAAGCGAGAAAUUGGACAAUGUGUCAUUGCCAAAAGAGGGUUUCGCUCGAAUACCACUCCGCGAAUUGGAUUCGUUAAAAAACCACCCCCAACUGAUGCCAAACCGCUGUUUUGCCAUAUUCACCAUUUCACAUAAUUUCCACCAUGUUUUCGCACUUAACUAGACCAAAAUACCCCUUCAGUCACAGCACGAGUUAGAAUGGCGGAGAGAAGGGCGGUUGACCGCGAGCAACGUGUAUAGGGGCAUGGUGGCGGGGGCAAGGCUAGCCCCAGCGUCGCCUCUCUCCUCCUCGCCGGCAGCCACGAGCCGCGUGUGGACAGGGGCACGACGGGGAGCACGGCGACGACAAGGCUAGCUCCCACGGCGCCACUCUCCUCCUCACCGACGGCCAUGAGCAGCGUGGACAGGGGCACGACAUCCCAAGCUAUCUUUUUACCAGUAAUAGGAAUCGGUAUUUAUCCAGAUUUUGUUCUCUCGCUAUCCGUUGACAGGGUAGAGGCUCUGUUAUCCAAUUAUUAUCCUAAAUAGGAUUUUUUUUCUUCUACUAGUCCGCUCUAUAUUCCAUAGUGGAAAUACUAAAAAAUUCAGAAAAAAGUAAAAGAGUUUAAUUAGAUCUAUCUCGAAUUUUUGAGAACCCUUUGAGAAGGCGUUCCAGGGGUUCUCAAAUCAAACACAAAAAUGGAAGUUUUUUCCAUUUCAUUAAGGUUUUAUGUUAUGUAAUCAUUUAGAUGGGUAAUGUAAAUGAACCAUAACUAUGUAAACCUAUUCCUAAUAGAUUGAUACCAAAAUAACAAAAUAACAGAUCCAAAUUAUAAGAAAUCCUAUGGAAGCUACAAAUGCUGACUUCGUACCCUUCCAAUUUGGAUUUUUUCUACUAUGUAAAUAAAUUGCAAAUAUGGUCCAAGUAAUAAAUGCCCAAGUUUCUUUAGGAUUCCAAUUCCAGUAGGAUCCCCACGCCUCAUUAGCCUAUACUGCUCCACAAAGAAUACCUAUGGUUAAAAGGGUAAACCCUAGACUAAUGACACGAUAACUCCAAGAAUCCAAACGCUCAAUUAAUUGAUAUUUGUAAUAAUUUGGAAAUAAAGGAAAAAAGGUGCUUUUAAAGCACUUCUUUUUGCAUAGAAAUAUUCAAUCUCAUUAAAGAAAAAUGUUUUAAGCAAAACAUUUUUCUUCUUUUUCGAAAAGAAAUCUAAAUUCUUUCGAAAUCUAAUCAUUAGAAGAGCGGCAGAUAAUAAGGAUCCGCACAAAAGAGUCGCAUAGCUUAGUAACAUCAUACUGACAUGCAUCAUUAACCACUGAGAUUGUAGAGCAGGUACUAGUAUUGUGGAUUGAUGCAUUUUAGUUAAAAGACCCGACGUGGCAAAGCCUUGCGUUAAAAUAGUACUCGGCGUAUUAUUGUGCUUAAAUCAUUUUUAGAGUUUUGUAUCUUAGGAAUCAUAUGAAGAAUAUACAGAGCCCAUGAAAGGAAGAUCAAUGACUCAUAUAAACCCGAAGAAGCCCAAUGAGAAACUAAGAAUCCUGUUAUACAGAAAAAAGUGGUUAUCAUUCCUUUUUCUGACGAAUCACGCAAUCCCCCAAGUUCACGAACUAAUAAGGUUAUUAAAUGAAUCGUAAUCACAAUUGAAAUUGUUGAGAAAGAAAUAUGAGUUAGUAUAUGUUCUAAAGUUGCAAAUAGCAUAAGGAGAAGGUCCCAUUACAAAAUUGGAAAUUUCGAAUUGAAUCCAUUUUAUUUUAUAAUCUAUUGUAUUCUUUUUCGAGACUGCCGCCACUCGGACUCGAACCGAGAUGCUUGAGCACUGCUUCCUAAGAGCAGCGUGUCUACCAAUUUCACCAUGGCGGCUAAGUUGAAAUAACAGGUUUAUUAAAAGAAUAUUAAGUUAUUUUCUCGCGAAUCGUCGAGAUUGGAAGAUUCCAUAGAAUUUAGGACAUUAGAAUCUUCAUUAAAAUAGACUUCGUUUGGUAGUAUCGUUGCGAAUUUUUUAACAAAAAAAUUCUUGCUUUGCCCAAUAGAAACUUUGAAAGAGUUGGAACAAUUUUUUCUCAGUUGCAAUAUAGAACUAAUUUUUUUGUUAAUUUAGGAUAAGAUAGGUAGAAGUUGUAAGUCUUAUUGCAGGAAUACUCUACUUUUCAUAAUAGAAUCCCCUUUUUUUAUUUAUUAUACGGAUUCUAUUAUGAAAAGUUCAUUGAUAGGAAAAGAAUAUUUAGGUCACAGUAUACCAAAAACCCUUUUUUUAUAUAUCAGAGAGGUUUGUUCUAAGAAUAUUGUACCGAGGAAUUCGACACAUAAAAGUAAACUCAUUAAUUAAUCCUAAUUAUUCCUAAUUAUUCAUAUUAAAUAAUUGGAAUUUUUUGGGGAUAGGUCAAUUCAUAUUAUCCCAAAACCCUAUUAUUUGUUUGUUUGUUGCCGAGAAAAACCCUUUGGUUUUGGAUGCUCGCUGACACCAGAAAAUGAUCUUGAUUUUGCUAAAGAAUAAGACUGUACUAUGGAAAAAUAAGUCUUUUUCUUCCAAAGAUUUUUACGAAUACGCUUUUUUUUACAUCGAAGUACGUUUUUUUGGAACUGCCAUUCAAAAAGGAAAUUACUUUUUUCUAGUUGUAUGUGAAAGACAUCUAUUGCCGCAAAUCAAUCCAUCUUUCUUCUUUUUCUUAGUAUUUAUACUUAGAUACUAAAAGAUAUUGAAAUUCUAAAUUCUUUUUUUACUUCAUUUUGUCUAAUGCGGAUAAGACAAGAGUUUUUUAACAUAUUAUAUAUUUUUUUAGACUUUGUUUUAAUAAUAUAGAAUAUAUACAAAGGUUUUCUAUUUAAAUCAAUUUAUAUUUCAAGUAUACUCUCCAUAUACAGAUAUAAGGUAUGGGGGCCUAUCCCCCAUAUAAGACGGGAGGAUAAAAGGAAGGGAAAAUUUAAUCAAAUAGUUAAUUAAAGUAUUCCAGAAUUGAAUUCCAAUCAAUUUGAGUUACGAAACAAGGGAGCUGCUUCAUUUUAAUAAAAAAAUAUUAAAGUAAAAUGAUUCAAUCUUUUUUUUGUAUUUUAAUAAAAGUCCUUCUUUAGGUAAUAACUAGGUAACGAAGUUAUUUCAUUAACUUUUUGACUUUAACCAACAAAACCUAUUCUUAUUUUUUUGAUUGUUUCAAUG
rnacentral:lncRNA from 1 species